AACGUAGGGGGCAAGCGUUGCCCGGAUUUACUGGGCGUAAAGCGGGUGGUAGGCGGUCCUCUAAGUCAGAUGUGGAAAUCCUACGGCUCAACCGUGGAACUGCAUCUGAUACUGGAGGACUUGAGGAGCGGUAGAGGUCGGUGGAAUUCCUAGUGUAGAGGUGAAAUUCGUAGAUAUUAGGAAGAACACCGGUGGCGAAGGCGGCCCACUGGAUCGGUACUGACGCUGAGGUGCGGAAAGCGUGGGAGCAAACAGG
rnacentral:rRNA from 1 species